UAGGGAAUCUUCGGCAAUGGGGGCAACCCUGACCGAGCAACGCCGCGUGAGUGAAGAAGGUUUUCGGAUCGUAAAGCUCUGUUGUAAGUCAAGAACGGGUGUGAGAGUGGAAAGUUCACACUGUGACGGUAGCUUACCAGAAAGGGACGGCUAACUACGUGCCAGCAGCCGCGGUAAUACGUAGGUCCCGAGCGUUGUCCGGAUUUAUUGGGCGUAAAGCGAGCGCAGGCGGUUUGAUAAGUCUGAAGUUAAAGGCUGUGGCUCAACCAUAGUUCGAUUUGGAAACUGUCAAACUUGAGUGCAGAAGGGGAGAGUGGAAUUCCAUGUGUAGCGGUGAAAUGCGUAGAUAUAUGGAGGAACACCGGUGGCGAAAGCGGCUCUCUGGUCUGUAACUGACGCUGAGGCUCGAAAGCGUGGGGAGCGAACAGG
rnacentral:rRNA from 1 species